GCGAUUCGGCAUGGUCUGAUUUAUUGAUUUCUUUGUUAUUUAUUUUUGUGGUAUUUAAUUGUUUAAUUGAAGGAUCAUUGUGGUUAUUGUAUUUUUGUGAUUUAAUUUUUUUGGCUAUAGUUUAUUUGUACUGUGAGGGGUUGGUAAAUAUUUUUUUGGAAGUAGAUUUUAUUUGUCGUACCUUGUGUAUCAGGGUUCAUUGAAUUAUAUUAUUUAUUUUUGUUUCCCGAUUUUGAAGGAGUUAAUGGUUUAUAUUAGUUACUGUUUCAUUAGUAUUAAUAAUAGGUCGUUGGUAGUGAAAUGUUAUUCGUCUUUGGAGGUUUCUGGUUUUUCAAGAAAUGAAUUUAAUUCAUGCAUUUUAUUUAAUUUCUGUUGUUUGUUUAUUAAUUUUUAUUUUGUGCUAAGAUUAAGGGGGAUUAGCUCUUUAUUCUAUUUUUAUAAUUAGUUGUAAUUCAAUUUGGUUUUGUGGAUUUUAUAGUGAUUUUCAAUUUGAUUAUGUUAAAAUUUUAUUUGUUCUUUUGUUUAAUUUGCUUUAAAUUUAAUUUGUUUAUUGAAAUGUUUACUUUAUUUUUGGUUUGUAUAGUAAUUAUUGUGUAAUUAGUAAAUUUUGUUUUAUAUAUUGUUUAAUUUGAGAGAAUGCUAAUUUCUUUUUAGGAAUUAGGCAAAGUUUUUAUGUCCGCCUGUUUAACAAAAACAUCUUUUCUUGUUAGUUUUUGAAGUAUGGCCUGCCCACUGACUUGUUGUUGAAGGGCCGCGGUAUUUUGACCGUGCAAAGGUAGCAUAAUCAUUAGUUCUUUAAUUGUGAUCUGGUAUGAAUGGCUUGACGAGACAUAAACUGUCUUAGGAGUAUUGUUUAUUGAAUUUGGUUUUUGAGUUAAAAUUCUUAGAUGUUUUUAUGGGACGAGAAGACCCUAUAGAGUUUAACAUUUAUUCUUGUUGAUUAUAUUUUGUUUGUUUGUUUGUUUUAAUGGGUUGAAUGUUUUGUUGGGGUGAUGGGAGGAAUUUUUUUAACUCCUCUUUAUUUUUAUAUAUUUAUUUAUAUUGUUUUGAUCCAUUUAUUUUGAUUAUAAGAUUAAAUUACCUUAGGGAUAACAGCGUUAUCUUCCUUGAGAGUUCUUAUUGGCGGGGGGGUUUGCGACCUCGAUGUUGGAUUAAGGUGAAUUUUUGGUGCAGGAGCUGAAAUUGAUUGGGUCUGUUCGACCUUUAAAACCUUACAUGAUCUGAGUUCAGACCGGCGUGAGCCAGGUUGGUUUCUAUCUAUAAUAUAGUUUUAUACCUUAGUACGAGAGGACCGGGUAUUUGGAAUAAUUUUAAUUGUUAUAAUGAUUGUUAUUAAUAUAUUUUGCUAUUUUGGCAGAUAAGUGCAUUGGAUUUAGAAUCUAUU
rnacentral:rRNA from 1 species